GUCCUUGUAGCGCAAUGGAGAGUGCGUUAGACUUCUAAUCCAAUUGUCGUGGGUUCGAAUCCCACCUGGGAUA